AUUGAACGCUGGCGGCAGGCCUACACAUGCCAGUCGAGCGGAUGAAGGGAGCUUGCUCCUGGAUUCAGCGGCGGACGGGUGAGUAAUGCCUAGGAAUCUGCCUGGUAGUUGGGGAUAACGUCCGGAAACGGGCGCUAAUACCGCAUACGUCCUGAGGGAGAAAGUGGGGGAUCUUCGGACCUCACGCUAUCAGAUGAGCCUAGGUCGGAUUAGCUAGUUGGUGGGGUAAAGGCCUACCAAGGCGACGAUCCGUAACUGGUCUGAGAGGAUGAUCAGUCACACUGGAACUGAGACACGGUCCAGACUCCUACGGGAGGCAGCAGUGGGGAAUAUUGGACAAUGGGCGAAAGCCUGAUCCAGCCAUGCCGCGUGUGUGAAGAAGGUCUUCGGAUUGUAAAGCACUUUAAGUUGGGAGGAAGGGCAGUAAGUUAAUACCUUGCUGUUUUGACGUUACCAACAGAAUAAGCACCGGCUAACUUCGUG
rnacentral:rRNA from 1 species